GCUUGUCAACUUCAGUAGCUAUUAUGUCCGAUAUAUGAGGUGGAUGGGAUAUAUUUUCUUCUAUAUACAUCGCUCCUAGGGUUUCCUGAGAUGGACUGGAGGUUUGAGGUUGUAAUUUGGUCUUUCGUUUUGUCAUUUUCUAUAUUUCUGUGUUUCAAGUGUUAUUUGAAAGCUUCCUCCGGAUCUGUUGAAAAUCCCCUUCUAUGUUUGGAGCUACUGAGACUCUGACACCGCGCUACCCCAAGCCAUUGGGCCUACAGAACCAGUGGCCCUCCUCUGCCUGCUCAGAACUCCGCAGUUCCAGACAAGCUGGGCCUCAGGGACACUGUGCGCCCACCUGCCCCUUGGAAGAUCCACAGUUCUUCAAUCGCAGCAGGGUUAGGGUGCUCACCACAGGCCGCAGUGCCUCAGGAGCCUGUGAUCCCUCCCUGCUUGCAGAGAUAUCCACAGUCCUCCAGACAAAGGAAGGGACUUCUGCAGGCACUCCAGAUCCGCCCAGCUCCUCCUCUGCAGGCAGAUGGCUAGGCGCGGCUGGGCUCCGGGGUUAGUGUAGGCCCGCCCAUCCGUCAGGAGCUCAGCAGACUUCCAAGUGUAGCCGGGAGGGAUGGGGAGGCGGCUGUAGUGGCCUCUAACCUACUGCUCCACUUCACUGCACCCAGAAGCCUGGGGCGUCCGGAACAGUCUGAGAUUUGGGCAGACUGUGCUGGGCACUCACCACAGGCUGAGGUGCCUCAGGAACCUGCGAUCCCUCCCUGCUUGCAGAAAUAUUCAGUCCUUCAGACAAAGGAAGGGGCUUCUGCAGGCACUCCGGAUCCGCCCAGCUCCUCCUCCUAGAAUUUCUUAUCUUCAGAAUUAUUGGCUUUUUGGACAGGACAGUUCUUUGUGGUGGAGGCUGUGCUAUGCAUUGUAGAAUAUUUAGCAGAAUCCCUGACCUCUACCUCAUUAGAUAGCAUUUUCAUCCCCACUCCUGACUGCAAGUUUUAAUAAACAAAAAGAUCUCCAGACAAUGCUAUAUGUCUCUGUGGAUCAUUUCCUUGGUGAUUGUUAUUGGCUCAGGUGUAGUCCCAACACCCAAACUAGUCCAAGUAACCUGUCUCUCUCCUCUUGGACUUAAAUAAGUCAGAGUUGGAAUAGAGGCUGUGGAUGGUGGUGGGGGAAACAAGAUGUUGCUUGUUGAACAGCUGACUCAACCUGGCUUGAAACUUUCCUUCCUUACCUGUGGACUUCUGGCAUAAAAGAUGAUACAUUUCCUUAUUGUUUUAGAUGAAGUUUCUUGGGUCAUUUUGGAAAGUAAUUUAUCAAAACAUACAGAAGGGUUUCAGUAUUUUAACCUCCAUUAGGGCUGGAUUUAUGCAUACUGACUGAGCAGCAGCCUAGAGACAAGCAGGUUGGUAGGGACUGUGAGAGGGAGAGGAUUCUCUUUGUCAGAGGAUGGUUGGGGAGGCUCUGAUGGUGUCUCAGUACCUGUGUGUUUUCUUUUGGCUCCACAAAAGCCUUGGUGAGUCUACCCUCUGUCUAUCCUCAUGUAAAUAUGGUGGUGCAUUUCUUGAUGCAAUUAGGGUCCUAUGUAACUUGUUGAAGGGUAUGUGCCUUUUAGAGUCUAAGUGGUUACAGAGAAUGCUUUGAGUGGUGUCUCCCUAGAAAGAUUUGAUCCAAACACAGAGGCAGCAUUUGUCUAGAUACAUGGGUAUCAGAUCUCCUUCAAAGAUAACAAGAAGCCAAAUACUAUUUAAUUCAAGCCACCAUUUUCUUUAGGUGUGUGCUCUGGCUAUUUUCAAGCUUCCUUUCCUUUAUUCUUGAUAUCUCUCCCUCUCCAGAUACUGGGAUGGUAAAAAUGUGUAUAGAACAAAAUCAGUACAGAGCUGUCCAAAUCAAACUUUUAAGAUAGUUUUCACAGUAAGACAUUGAACAGUGUUGGAAACACUGCUGAAAGAAGCCUUGGCUUUGGAACCUGGCUUGGAGCUUCAGUUUACUCCUCUAGGGGAAUGGGUAGGAUAAUAUGCACCCAGCUGCAUGCUUGUGAGCACUGACUGCGGUAAUAUAUAAGAAAAAUUGAAUAAGAAAGAGGAUUGGAGGAGAGCUGUUUGGAGAUAACAAAGGUGGAAUUGGUGGGAACUUUAGGUCUGGAUCCUUCCCAUUUUGUCUUUCAGUGGAGGCUGGUGAUAGUCGAAUUUCUUUUAUGUCUUUGGGAGUUUUUGAUCGUGGUUUAGGGUUUUUCUUAGUCUGGGCUGAGGUAAACACUGCAGUCAGUGUUGGCUGGAUUUUGGUGAGGACACAGGACUGUAGGCAAUGGUGGCAGAGCCAUGUGGUCAGGCAGUUUCCCAGGUCUCACAGGAAACCAUUGACAGUAUAUUAAGAACCUAUAAUAAGAAGAAAAGAUCAAUAGCUGGUCCCACAAGAACAAACCUCUCCAGAUGGAAAGGGGUGGGGGUGAGCUAUGACUUUACUGAUCUGUGAUUCCUGAAUUUGAACCCCUCAUUGCCAUUUAUUAGUUUUGUGACCCUUGAGCAAGUUAGCUAGCCUCUCUGGGCUUAAUCAAUAAAUGAUGAUAACAAAUAAGCCUUACACUGAGGAUAUCUACAUCACAGGAAAACGACAUGAAAUAUAUGCCAGUCACAAACAAGCAUGAAACUAGUGUUUCCUUUCCGUCUUGACCUUUAGAGGCUGCUCUUUUUACCUUCCCCAACCAAAUUUCCGGUUAGUUCCCUAACUUGAUGGCAUUCCUUUGCCAAGAUUCUGGCACAAAGAAAGUCUCUUAACUUUCCUUCACUUUAUUUUUUUGAUCUGGGAAUCAGGCUCAAGAUCUCAUGGUUGCCAGGCAGGCACUGUGCUGCUGAGCUAUGUCCCCAACCCUCCUUCACUUUAAGCGAGGAGGAAAAGCUCUGAAUCCGGGUGUAGUGAAGUACUCCAUGAUGGAAUAUCACUCCAGCGAGGCAAGAGGCCGAGAGGCUGGAGGUUAAGUAUGUGUUUGUUGGUGCCAGACUUGCAGGGUUCAAAUCUCAGCUCAGCCUCCUGUUUUGACUGCAUUUCCUGAUUUGUCCAACAGGGAUAACAUCAGUACCAGCCUAUGAGGGUUAAUUGAGGUGACGCUUGAGAAACUCUUGGCAAGAUGCCUGGCCCACUGGGUGAGCUGAGUAGUGUGGCUAUGAUCUUCCAAUUAGCAUGUGCUGAACAUUUUCAUUUCUGGGUUGAAUGAUGCCUCGUUCACAAGAGGACCAUAUUUUCACCCUUACAACUUGUGAAUAUAUCACCUUACGUGGAAAAAGGGACUUGGAAGCCAGGAAAUUCUCCCGAGUUUGGACAUAGCUGUUGGCCGCUGUUCCCACCACACUGACCUGCUGUGGCCUUCUCCCAAGCAGACGUCGCUACAAAGGUCAGGCUGCUGAAUCCCAUCAUUAGUCUGCCAGACUUCUGCUUCUGGGCCAGAGGGCAAGAGGAGCCAAAUCCUCCCCCACAGGCAGGAACCAGAACAUAGUCAUUUCCCAGCCCGGGACAAUUAAUCAUAUAUUGAGAGACCUAGGUCAAAGGAAGAUGGUUUAUUUACCGCUCACCACUGCUUUAACCCCAGGUAUGUUUUGCUAUUGCCUUUUAUCUCCUGGACACCCACUUGGACUCUCUUCUAAACACCAUCUAAAUCAUGAGCAAGAGGUCAAAUCCGACACAUUUGAUUGCUGCUGUCAUGAGGUGUUCAUGGACUAGGUUGGGUUUGGCUUUUGUAGCCUUGAGUUUGUUGCUGGGAGGAAAGACCACGAGAAGUAGCUUUGACAUUUUAAACUCAUCUUCAGGCCUUUGGAGAGUUUUAUCUAGCAGCAAGGCUUUAGUGGUGAUGUGCCCAGAUUUCAAAAGAGUAGAAAGAUACUUAUGAGCAUGGAAAAGUCUUCCCUUGGCUUGAUAUCUCAGCUGAGACAAGUGGAGUUUCUAUAAAGAGCUUCCCCACCCCAGUCAAUUAAUCAAUUAAUUGAUUAAACAACAUACAUUAAGUAUUUAUAUAUUUUGAAGAAAAUAAGACAAAUAGAAACUAAAUAAACAGCUUCAAAUCAGGCUAGUAGGAGAGUAACAAUAAUUAACACAUUGUGCAUUGUUAUGUUCAUAGUAGUUGCUUAAAUAAGAACAAGAUAUAGGCAUUAAAUAAUGUCCAGACAAUAUUAACUCAAAUCUUUGUUUUCAAUGAAUGAAGAGAAACUAGCUGUAUGACUAUCUUAUCCAUGAGCAGGGGAUUUCUUUCCAUUUUCUGAUAUUCUCUUUGAUCUUUUUACCCCAGAGUACUGUAAUUUUCAAUGCAUAGAUCUUUUACUUCCUUUGUUAGGUAGAUUCCUGAGUAUUUCAUUUUUUUGGAUGCUAUUGUAAAGAAUGUGGUUUCCUUUACUGAGUGUAUCUUAACCAGGCAUUGUCUAGACACAGAAUGCCCUUGGCUAUGUUCCAGAGAAAGUCCUCUGAAGAAGACUGAAGCAGAGACUAGCAUAUCGCAGGUGUAUUAGGAAACCACUUGAAUCCAUAUUUGUGGUGAAAAGAUCAAAGCAGGACUGGGCAAAAAGGGACAUAGACCGGUAAUGCAAUCUCCAUGAGUGCCUCAGGCAGUCCUCCAGGGGUCCAGAGAGUGGAUGAGCUUUUAGGAUGGGCCCAGUCUGGGAGUGAGAGGUCCAUGCCAAUAAGUCCUGGGUGAGGGAAGCCUGGGAAGUAACCUGGAAUAAAAUAACCUUCUUCAGGCCACACAACCCCUGUAGGGGAAUGAACGGCAAGGCCAGUAAGCACAGCAGUUGAGGAAUAAGAGGGUCAGUCCUAGGGGAGGACCUCGGUGGUGUAUUAUGGAGUCUAACACGAUCCACUUGGCCCUUAUAUAUGGAACAGUGAGGGUCUUGAUUCUUUCUAAGCCAAAGCCUGAGAGAAGUAUAUGAGUGUAGGUAUUCAGCAGCUGAUCUCAGAAAGCAAGACUAGAGAAUGGGGACAAGGGGACAGGGAAUAUGUUAGCUUUCCUGUCUCAGGGACACAAUACCUGACACCAUGCAUUAAAGGAGGUGAGGUGUAAUUUGACUCACUGUCUGAGGAGAUUCAGCCUGGUUGGUUGAUUCUAAGACAGGAACAUUGUGGUGUUAAGUGCAAGAUGGAGCAAAGCUACUCGGUUCAUAAUGCUGGGAAGCAGAGCAGAAGAGCAGUGCCAGAGAAGAAUGGACGAGGGACUGUUUGUGAUAUCCAAGGCUGCACCUCCAGGCCCACCCAGACACAGCCAGGAGCACGCUUUUCUAAUCUGCUAGGCAUCUCUCUCUCUCUCUCUCUCUCUCUCUCUCUCUCUCAUUUUUAUUUUAGAGAGAAAAACAGAGAAACAAACAAUGAAAACGAGUUUCAAAACAGGGUAGCAGGACAGUUACAAUACUUGAUACACAGCAUAUUGGUAUCUUGUAGUAGUUAUUCAGGGUAUAGCAGAUAGGUAGGAUAUCUUGUCUAAACAAUAUUGGCACAAAUCAUCCUUUUCAAGGAACAAAUGGAAGCUACCUGUAUAAAUUACCUUAACCAUCUCGUACAUACAUAUUUUUUCCUUUUACCUAUUCUUCCUUUCCUCUAUCAUAGUUUAUCUCUUUUUAACAGUUUAUCCCAGUUCACAGUAUCUGUUGUACAUUUCUUAUUUUAAAGAGACAAAAGAAAAAACAGAAAAAUCAAGAUGCAAACAAACCUGAAAAAACAAGAACAAUGGUCCCAAGGACAAAGAAUUAACAAAGGAUGCAUUGUUGAGCAGGUCUACACUGUGCGCACCCCUUUGCAGAAGUUCAGAAGUGUCUCCCAAAGUGCAGGAGAGGAGCUGUGUCUUUACUGACUUGUAUAUCCCAUUGGUGGAGCAUGGCCCUUGGGGAACUGAAAUCCUCUUCACAGGAAGUUGCAUCUUCCUAGAGCUUUAAGGAAAUCUUGGAAACAGAAAACCAAAGUCAAGGGGACAUUUGAUGUGAGAUGUUGCCAGAGGCUAUGGGCAGUAUCACCACAAAUGAAGUCAAAAUCAGAGAUGGGUCAUGUGGCAGAGGCUCUGGUUUCUUUAAGAAAGAAAGAGUCGGCAACAGAAAUAAUGAGGAAAUUAGUCUUCUAUGUGAUAAGAUCCCCUAAGAGGAUACCUAAUCUGUACUCAUCUCUCUCUAGCUUUUACUGAAAACAUCUAAUUUAAAAAGUUACAUCUUUUUUCUCUUAAAAGUGACUGAUAAACUAACUACUCAACCAAAUAACUAAUGUUUAUUAUACUCAGUACCUCCCCUGCCCCAGACUUUGUUCCAAGAGUUAUUAGAGUCCUCCCAAGAGUUCUUCAGUUCUUCCUGCUUUUCCUACUUUCUUGAAGCUGGUAAAUCUUAUCUUCUAUCCACUUUUUCUUCCCAGUUCCCAACAGAUGACCUGGACUUCUGCUUAAAGAUUGUGGUUAUCACACCUGAAUGUCUUCAGGUGACAUCUUUAUCUCAAAUAUGUCACAAUUACCAUUUUCAUAACACUAUUAUUCUACGGAGGGCCUUUAUUUAUUCAUCUUUCUAUUUCAAAUCUCAUGUCAUCUCUCUUCCAGUGAUUCCAGAGACAGACUCUCUGCUCACAGGCUGUUUUCUAAGACUUGGUAAUUUAUAAGGAACAGAAGUUUAUGUGGAGCACAGUUACGGAACUUGGGAACAGCAAGAGCAUGAUCUGCACUGGAAGGUCUAAAGAUCAGCAGUGGAAGCUAGAAAGUCUAUGCCAGUGCGAUGAAGCAUCUGUGCCAGUAGGUUGAGGAUUCUACACUGGAGCCAGGAAGCAAUGCUCAAAUAAGGACCAGUGCUCCCCCAAAGUGAAUCAUAGCCAUUCUCAGCAACAAGGUGCUGAGCUCCUCUGAUGAUGAGAACAACCAAGUUCAUAUCAGGAAAGAAACUUGACAAACUCCUCUAAGAGAACCAGUGGCAAUAUGAGAACCAACACCAACCAGGAGAACCAACAACACUACCUCUUCCUCUGAAGGUCUCUUUUUUUAUCUUGGCACCCAUUCUCAGAGAAUGUGUACAGCAUCUCCAAAAUGACCUCUUAGACCAUCCCAACGGUUAGGACUCACUACCACUUCCAAAUGUCAGGGCACUAUGAUGUGUGAAGCUCCUGGUCACAACAGAGAGUGAAAUGCAAUUUAUGGGGGUCAACAAAAGGCCAUUACAGAUUUCUUGGCCUCUAUAUGGACCUUAAUUAAGAAACUGCUUCACCAGUCAAAAUUUCUUUGGUUGCAAGAGAUCACAAAUUAAUUUAAAGUGGUUUGAGCUACAAAAGGGUGUUCAGAGGCAUUUGAACUGUCAAGGAAGUAGGUCUUGCUUCAGAGCCAUCUAGAUCCAGUGGCUCAGGUAAUGACAUCAGGAUUCAGUGUCUUUCUAUUUCUUUGUUACGCUUUCUGAGAUAUUGAUUUUCUAUAUUGGCACCCCACUCCAGAUUAUCUUUACAAUACUCAAUUGUACAAAUGAAAAAAUUCUCUGUAGCUAAUGUAAAACAAAUGGUUCAAGAUUGAAUCAGUCACUUUGAUUCUAGGAAGAGAGGAAUUUGGGUAGGGAUGGGUCACAGAUUGUUACUGACUGAAUUAUGACCCUCUCACCCAAGUUUAAAUGUUGCUACUCUACCCUCCAGUACCAUAGAAGGUAACUGCAUUAAAGAUAGGGUCUUUAAAGGAGUAAUUAACAUUAAAUAAGGUUUCUAGGAUGGACCCUAAUCCAAUAUGACUGGUGUCCUUAUAACAAGAGCAGAUGAGGACUCAGAUACACGCAGAGAGAUGACCACGUGAAGACUCAGGGAUAAGAUGGCCAUCUACAAGCCAUGAAGAUUGGUCUCAGAAGAAUCAACUCUGAUAAUACCUUUAUCUUAAACUUCCAGCCCCAGAACUGUGACAACAUGUGUUGUUUUAGCUCUCUGGGCUACUGAUUCAUUAUGGCAACCCUAGAAAACUAAUGCACAGAUUUAACUCUACAUUUGGGGAAAGGGGAAGUUUAUUUAGUCCCACAUGAACCUCCCUAUGAGUUAGGAGAGGGCAGGGUUCCAUCAGUGGAAAAAUAGUACAUAACUGGUAGGGGAAAAAUGACAAAUCAUUCACUUGUGGGUUAGAUUCAUAGUAACUAUUAACCAUUCAUUACGCAUUAGGUCUUAAGAUCACUUGAUAUUAAUACAGCAAUCCUGCAAGAUAGGUAUGAUUCUGCUUAUUUUCCAGGUGCAUAAACAGAGGCACAGACAGGUUAAGUGAGCUAUCCAAGAUAUGCAAUCAGUAAGUGACAGAGCCGGGAUUUACUCCACAUCCAGCUGGCUGCAAGACAUCAGGUUUCUCCUAAUACUUUUUUGAGAACCAGUAACUUCUAGUUUUGCAUUCUAUUGCUCUUCUCUCUGCAAGAUUGGAAAAGCUCUUGCUUGAGGCAGAGGAAGGGUAUGUAUUUAGGUGUUAAUUAAGGAAAUUUCUCAGUCUACAAAAUUCACAAGUUCAUUUUCAGUGCUGUUUCUGUUUUUGGGCAAACCUUUACCUAAUUCAAAUUAAUUAGAGUAGCAGAAUAUGAAAUCUUGCUGUUGUGCCUUAAAAUUCCCAGUGACCUAUAACUACCCCAUUCAUGACUCCUAAAGUCUGAGAAUCAGAAUCCAAAUCCUCAUUAAAGUGGCAAAAUGAACAAAUCCAUCAAUUCCUCUGCUUCUGCUUCUCUUGUGUGUUUACCAUGUUUUUUUUUUUUGUCCCAUGAUUAGCAGACAACUCCCAUACCUGGGUCAUAAAUAGGCUACUGGAUCAUGAGCUAUUAUCUUCAGCUGAGCUUGACAAUGCACGCUGAUGUUUGAACAUUUGAUGGGAAAGAAAUUCAGAAAAUAUCAGACCCUUAUGUGGUCAUCACAUUUCAGUCUCCAGCUGGGCUUGAUAUUUCUGUUGAAACCAUCUGGUGGGCCUCUUGUAAAUCUUGACUUGUCUUUCACAGUACUCAUUUAUGGCAAGAAAGGGCAAUUAAAUCCAAGCUAUCUCGAAAACAAAAUUCAAGAGUAGUGAAUAUCAUUUGUAUCCUUGUGACAUUGAAGUUAUCAAAUUUUGUAAAAAUUAUUAAUAAUUAUACAAUUUCGACUAGUAAAAAAAAUUGUUCGAAUGAUCAUCUCCCUUCAACACUGGUGUGAAUUCACUUCUACCACAUCUUUCUUGGAGGCUGUCUUUUGAGAGUCCCCUGGAUUUUGAAUGCUUGUCACAUGUCCUUGAAUGGAUGGUUUUUUUCUUAAAACCAAUGAGUCCUGUCAAAGAAAAUCAGUCUUUCAUCAACUGUCUGACCCUGGUGCAUAUACAGUGUGGCUCAACUGCAACAGGUGCCUGAAACUCUCACAUCAAGAUUCCAUGAAGUUGAUGAAAGUGAUGUUGAGAGUUUUAAAGAACAGACAAAAUCACAGAUGACCCCUGAGAAUCAGGCAGCUUUAGUGUCAGUGUCAAUAUUCUGCUGGAAUUCAAUAGACCUGGCCAUAUUGGUUGUCAUGGUGAUUGCUGAUUGGCUGGCACCUGUGUCAUGCUGGUUAUUCAAUAUUUUUAAUAUCAUCCCAAGAAGAAUUAACAAGUGAAGAAAAAAAAUGUGACAAGGAAAAUGACAUGGUGAGCACUUCAAAAGAAAAUAUUUAAAUAUCAAAAGAUUCAAGAAGGCCUGAGGAAAAAUUGGUAAAGCCCUUGAAUAUUUUUUAACAACUCUUUUGCUAUCAUGAAUUAAAAGCCAAACCUGAAAUGAAGGAUUUUUGCAGAAAAAUUACACCAAAAAAACCUACUACUUAAUUCAUUUUUCUGUUCUUUAUUGUAAUUUAUGCAUGGUUGAAAUGGUAAUCUAAGUUUUGUUAUUUUGAUAAAACUAAGUUUAUUUUAUUUAAAGAUAACAUUCAAAAUCACCCCCUUCCUACCUCCAAAAUUUGCCAUGAUAAUGUGAGCUUUAGUAUUGAGUCACUUUAAAUGUCUUCUGUCAAGAUUGAUAUUCAUCCCAGGGAUGGAACUAAGGAAGCCAAGAAAGAAAAUCCUUCCCUCAUUUUCUAAUGGGGUUGUUCAGUUUCCUCUUUUAUUUCUUACCAUGGUGGCUCUACUUCUAUGUUUCUCUCCUCAAUCUGUGCCUUCUGCUCACUUGUGUUGAGCUGUGUUGGGUAAUCUGGAUUGUCAUUUUGACUGGGUUUGGAGUCACUUAGGAGAUUAAUAAAGCAUUAUUUGUGGGUGUCUCUGCAUUGUCCAUGGAGAGUGUGAUGUUGGGGUUGUGUCUGGUCCUUAGCCCCUUUCUCUUGGGUUUUCCCCUGAUCUUUGCUUCCCAGAUGCCAUGAUGUAAGCAAGCAGCUUUCCUGCCAUUGUAUUUCUGCCAGCUGACCAUGGAGAGAAUCCUCUGAAAUUGUGAGCCUAAAUAAUAUUUUUCUCCUUUAAGUAGUAGGUGUCAGGUAUUUUGUUCUAGUGGCAGGAAACUUAACCAAUACAUGAGCCAAGACAUGCCUGUUUCAUACCACGUAUUGUUCCUCUCCAGCAAUAAGUUCUAGGACCAGAGUUACCUACAAGAGCAGGUAUUUCAUAGACUGGCAGAUGACUGGACUUCAUGGAAACAACAAUGAUGCAGUUCAUGAAGCUGGACUAAUCAGGUUAACUCUCAAGAAUCUCUGAUGAAUACAUUUGGACCUAGCUAGACAGCAUAGCGGCCUGAUGGUAAAAUGAUGCAAUGCAGUCGUGAUGGAUCAGAUGCAAGCUUCAGGAGUAAAACUGUGUAAUCCAGCAGCUCCAAGGUAUUGACUCAGGGUCUUCAUCCAUUGCUCUUCAACUCUGUCACACACUGUAUGUUGGGCAAUUAUUUACCUUCUUUCUGAUGAAAAUAUCCUAAAUUUUCUGUCUCUGAAAUAUGGGAAGAAUUGAUUUUAUCCUGGGUAUAGGGUGAUUGUACAACUCAGCCCUGACCACCUACAUAAAGAAGCUUUCCCUUUA